rnacentral:rRNA from 1 species
AGAAUUUGAUCUUGGUUCAGAUUGAACGCUGGCGGCGUGGAUGAGGCAUGCAAGUCGAACGGAAUAAUGACUUCGGUUGUUAUUUAGUGGCGGAAGGGUUAGUAAUACAUAGAUAAUCUGUCCUCAACUUGGGAAUAACGGUUGGAAACGACCGCUAAUACCGAAUGUGGUAUGUUUAGGCAUCUAAAACAUAUUAAAGAAGGGGAUCUUCGGACCUUUCGGUUGAGGGAGAGUCUAUGGGAUAUCAGCUUGUUGGUGGGGUAAUGGCCUACCAAGGCUUUGACGUCUAGGCGGAUUGAGAGAUUGACCGCCAACACUGGGACUGAGACACUGCCCAGACUUCUACGGAAGGCUGCAGUCGAGAAUCUUUCGCAAUGGACGAAAGUCUGACGAAGCGACGCCGCGUGUGUGAUGAAGGCUCUAGGGUUGUAAAGCACUUUCGCUUGGGAAUAAGAGAGAUUGGCUAAUAUCCAAUCGAUUUGAGCGUACCAGGUAAAGAAGCACCGGCUAACUCCGUGCCAGCAGCUGCGGUAAUACGGAGGGUGCUAGCGUUAAUCGGAUUUAUUGGGCGUAAAGGGCGUGUAGGCGGAAAGGAAAGUUAGAUGUUAAAUCUUGGGGCUCAACCCCAAGCCAGCAUCUAAUACUAUCUUUCUAGAGGGUAGAUGGAGAAAAGGGAAUUCCACGUGUAGCGGUGAAAUGCGUAGAUAUGUGGAAGAACACCAGUGGCGAAGGCGCUUUUCCAAUUUACACCUGACGCUAAGGCGCGAAAGCAAGGGGAGCAAACAGGAUUAGAUACCCUGGUAGUCCUUGCCGUAAACGAUGCAUACUUGAUGUGGAUAGUCUCAACCCUAUCCGUGUCGUAGCUAACGCGUUAAGUAUGCCGCCUGAGGAGUACACUCGCAAGGGUGAAACUCAAAAGAAUUGACGGGGGCCCGCACAAGCAGUGGAGCAUGUGGUUUAAUUCGAUGCAACGCGAAGAACCUUACCUGGGCUUGACAUGUAUUUGACCGCGGCAGAAAUGUCGUUUUCCGCAAGGACAGAUACACAGGUGCUGCAUGGCUGUCGUCAGCUCGUGCCGUGAGGUGUUGGGUUAAGUCCCGCAACGAGCGCAACCCUUAUCGUUAGUUGCCAACACUUAGGGUGGGAACUCUAACGAGACUGCCUGGGUUAACCAGGAGGAAGGCGAGGAUGACGUCAAGUCAGCAUGGCCCUUAUGCCCAGGGCUACACACGUGCUACAAUGGCCAGUACAGAAGGUAGCAAUAUCGUGAGAUGGAGCAAAUCCUCAAAGCUGGCCCCAGUUCGGAUUGUAGUCUGCAACUCGACUACAUGAAGUCGGAAUUGCUAGUAAUGGCGUGUCAGCUAUAACGCCGUGAAUACGUUCCCGGGCCUUGUACACACCGCCCGUCACAUCAUGGGAGUUGGUUUUGCCUUAAGUCGUUGACUCAACCUGCAAAGGAGAGAGGCGCCCAAGGUGAGGCUGAUGACUGGGAUGAAGUCGUAACAAG